rnacentral:rRNA from 1 species
CAGGUGGUGCAUGGUUGUCGUCAGCUCGUGUCGUGAGAUGUUGGGUUAAGUCCCGCAACGAGCGCAACCCUCGCCUCUAGUUGCCAGCAUUCGGUUGGCACUCUAGAGGGACUGCCGGCGACAAGUCGGAGGAAGGUGGGGAUGACGUCAAAUCAUCAUGCCCCUUAUGACCUGGGCUACACACGUACUACAAUGGGCGGUACAAAGGGCUGCGAACCCGCGAGGGGGAGCGAAUCCCAAAAAGCCGCUCUCAGUUCGGAUUGCAGGCUGCAACUCGCCUGCAUGAAGCCGGAACCGCUAGUAAUCGCGGAUCAGCAUGCCGCGGUGAAUACGUUCCCGGGCCUU